rnacentral:misc_RNA from 1 species
GAUGAAGAACGCAGCGAAAUGCGAUAAGUAAUGUGAAUUGCAGAAUUCAGUGAAUCAUCGAAUCUUUGAACGCACAUUGCGCCCCCUGGUAUUCCGGGGGGCAUGCCUGUCCGAGCGUCAUUACAACCCUCAAGCUCAGCUUGGUGUUGGGCCCCGCCGCCCCGGCGGGCCCUAAAGUCAGUGGCGGUGCCGUCAGGCUCCGAGCGUAGUAAUUCUUCUCGCUCUGGAGGUCCGGUCGUGUGCUCGCCAGCAACCCCCAAUUUUUUUCAGGUUGACCUCGGAUCAGGUAGGGAUACCCGCUGAACUUAAGCAUAUCAAUAAGCGGAGGA